UGAGGGCAUCCCAGAGUCCCCAUCAGGA
rnacentral:piRNA from 1 species